rnacentral:rRNA from 1 species
UUGAACGCUGGCGGCAUGCCUUACACAUGCAAGUCGAAACGGUAGAGUAGCAAUACUUGAGAGUGGCGAACGGGUGAGUAAUAUAUCGGAACGUGCCCAGUCGUGGGGGAUAACGUAGAGAAAUUUACGCUAAUACCGCAUACGAUCUAAGGAUGAAAGCGGGGGAUUCGCAAGAACCUCGCGCGAUUGGAGCGGCUGAUAUCAGAUUAGGUAGUUGGUGAGGUAAAGGCUCACCAAGCCGACGAUCUGUAGCUGGUCUGAGAGGACGACCAGCCACACUGGGACUGAGACACGGCCCAGACUCCUACGGGAGGCAGCAGUGGGGAAUUUUGGACAAUGGGCGCAAGCCUGAUCCAGCAAUGCCGCGUGCAGGAUGAAGGCCUUCGGGUUGUAAACUGCUUUUGUACGGAACGAAACGGUGAGCUCUAAUACAGUUUGCUAAUGACGGUACCGUAAGAAUAAGCACCGGCUAACCACGUG